UUCGUAACUUUCCCUCACCGGACGGAAGUCGUUCAUUGCUUCCCACUCUCUCUCUCGAGAUCUCUCUCCCUCUCAGCCCGCAAUUUUUCCAGUGAUCAAGCUACGAACUCUUAGCCACUAUUUCAUUUCAAUUUAUCAUCCGGUCCUCACGCUCUGUUUGGUCGCUAUAGAAACCGAGGGUAGAGAAUUCUAUUUGGUCCCAGACUCAGAACAUUUGUUUAGUUCAAUUGACGUAUAUGAUAAACCAGAAUAUUUGGCUUAGUUUUGCAUCAAGAGUGUUAUCGCUUCGAUUAUGCCGGGGAUGGCAGGAGGCUUUUGGUUUACUUGUACAUACGAGCAUUAAGAUCUCGUGUUGGGUUAUUUUUAUCUCAAGCCGUUCCUCAUCAACGAAAGCCGUUUCACAGAGCAAAGACGUGUACGGGGCCAAUAGAUUUUUGGUUUGCGGAACUUCUUGUAUAUCUGGUCUCCCAUGGAUGAGGCAUCUGGUUGCGCUUCAAGCCAAACAUGGAUUUGGGUCAUUGAAGCUCUUGCAAGCUUCAAGGAAGUUGAUGUUUCUAUUUUACAUGAUUUGAUUAAAAUGGCUCCAGAGUUACCUGAUAAUUUGGGGAAAAACAUGAGGGAAAUGCUGGCUUUGAGAUGUUUGGAGGUUUUAUUUGGUCCUAGUAAUGGGAUCACAAAAGAUGGUUGUUCCUUCCUAGCUUCAAAAGUUGGGUUUGAUAUGUCAAAAAGCUGUGAAGAUGUUCUCGAGCACAUAGUGCAGGAGACUUCGUUAUCAGAUCUUAAAAUGGCUGGACCAGAGCUGUCAAAAUGGGAUGCUCGCCCCUUUAUAAUCUAUAAAAGAGCCUGUACACCUAAACUUGCCUUACAACAGCUGAAAGAUUCACUUCUUGAUGGUAGUCAUCCUUAUGCUGAUUCUUUGAAGGUAAGGAGUGGAUUGCCAUUUACAAAUGCAGGUGAAAUAGUACCUGUGUAUAAUGGUAAGCACUGUGCCUUCACACAGAGAGUUAAUAGUAGCUGUUUUGACACUCAACAUAUGGAACCGAAAGGGAAGAUGAUGCGUAGAAUUGCCGAGGGUAGGAAAAAGCUACUGGAAAACAAUUCGUGUACUGGGAUUUUACUAGACUCCAAGAGGAAAAGGGAUGCACUGGCUACUGAAAAUAUGGAUGAAGAAUUCCAUCAAAACCGAAAUAUUUUAGAUGCUUGUGAUGAUCCUAAUAUAAAUGCCAAGAGGCAGAAGCAAUUUGCUUCGUCCUCAAUUCAGUCCAGAGAAGUGAGCUCAGUUCCUCUAAAUGGAACAGAGUGUGUAGAGUUUCCAUCUGAAAGAGUUAUGCUGGUUGCUGGAACAGAAAGUUGUGGCUUGGCUAAGGAUCAGAUAGGAAGCCUGGAAGAAGUCAGGGUUGUAGGGGAUAAUCAUGAUCAGCGUACUACCUCCAAGAAAUGUGGGCAUAUUGCUGAUGAUGAAUUCAACCAUAUUCAAUCAGAGAUUCCUGAUGUCGGUACUAUUAUACCUUCAGAUAUAUCUGGAGAUGAACCUUGUCAAAAGAUUUCUGUUGAUGAAGUCAGAGAUGAUAGGGAACAAUGUGCUGAACUUAGAACUUCAAGUGGUCCUCUCUUCGUCAAGACUCGAGGAAAUGAAUCCCAAUGUGACUAUGAACAUCAGUUUCAACUAAAAGCACAACGUUUUGCAUCUCUCGAUGGAUGCAAGCAGAAGAUCAUCGCACAUGAAGCUGAAGAGGAUAUGGACCAUUGUUGUGAAGUAGGGACAUCAAGUGAUAGUGAGGGGUAUCACAAUGGUGAUAUUGAUGUCUCCUUUGAGAAAAAUGAGUUUUUGAGCUCUCGGGCAACAAACAGUUAUGAUCCAUCAACUGGAUGGACGUUCCAAGGUCUUUGUAUGAAGUGUAACGAAGGUGGUCAGCUAUUGGUAUGUAGCACAAGUAAUUGCCCGGUGAUGGUUCAUGAGAACUGUUUGGGUUCCUCACCCACCUUUGACAACAAUAGUAAAUUUUACUGCCCCUUCUGUGCAUAUUCCCGUUCUAUUUCAGAUUACCUUGGAGCUAAGAAAAAGGCCUCCUUGGCAAGGAAAGAACUAACUAUGUUUUUUCGUAUGGGUUUGGACCAAAAUCCAGCGGAACUUACUGAAACAUUGCAUAGAGAAAAGCAUAAUCUUUCAAGGCAAAGUGGAGAUGAGGAUCUUCUCGUCAAAAGUCAUGAAAAUGGGUACUUGGAAGAGAGAGUAAAUGGUCAGACUGGUCACGAAUGGGAACAUGCAAAUGAAGUCAAUAAUUUUCAUUGUAGAAGAAGUAUAGAUGAUAAGCAACAAGCAGAACCUUCUGCAUUAUAUGAUAAUGUCAAUUCAGCAUUUAGAGAGGAAGAGCCAGCUGAAAUUACCAGGACACUAAAUGUAUUAACUGAAGAGAAAGAAGGGCAAGAAAAAUUUAUCCAAGCUGUAAGAGUGGUUGAAGGAGACAACCAAGAAGCAGCUGAGCAUGAUGGUCUUAAUUCAUCCUAUAGAAGCACAUAUAUUAUUCCUGUCAAUCAAAGUCCCGUGGAGGAAGAAUUCCAGCAGGAUGUUUUUGAGCAACAGAUUGCUGACCCACCAGAGGAACCUGUUUGUGCACUUGAUACUCGUGCAGAUGGUGAUAGUUUAUCCUUUAGAAACACAGACGUUAUUCCUGGAAUCCAGAGACAAUCAAAAGAACAGAUCCAGCAGGAAGUUUUAGAGCAAAGGAUUGCUGAGCCAACAGAGGCACCUGUUUGCGCACUUGAUGCUUAUGCAGUGGAAACUUCUGAAGAGGAAAAUGAUUCUAUCAUUUCGAAUUAUUUUAUAAGAUUCCGAAAGAAAGAGAGGCUUGACAGUACUUACCCAGUAAGUCCUCGGCUAAGGCGAAAGAAAGUUUCGUGGACUGCUGAGGAGGAAGAGAUACUGAAGCAAGGAGUGGAGAAAUUUUCAAACACCAAUGACACAAAUAUUCCAUGGAAGAAGAUUUUGGAAUUUGGUGGUGAUGUGUUUCUUCGCAUUCGGACAACAGUAGACUUAAAGGAUAAAUGGAGGAACUUGUGCAAAGUGGGCCCAAGGUGUAAAUGAAGUUCUGUCGGAGAUGUCAACCCAAAAAAGAACAAAAACGCUCAAUCUAAGAGUGGAAUUAGCUUUGCUAGGAUCUGUACAGAGAUUGAUGUGUGGUUCAUUUUGUUGAGCACUUUGAAUCCCAUUGUGAGAAUGACUGGUUGUUCUAUGUCAGAGUAUAAUCAGAUUUUGGGUGCACAGGCUUUGAUUCAACCUAGCACGCCCAAGUCCGAGGAAGAGUGGAAGGAAGUCAAGAAUCGCAGAAAGGGAAAGAGGCGAAGACAGUGCAAUAAUAAAUUAAUAUAAAUAUAGAGAAACUAAUAUAAAGGAAAGUUUCGUGUUUGGAGUGUCUGGGGCAUUGCAACGUAUUGUUUCCUCAAGCAAAAGGUUAGUGGGUUCUUGGAGAAACACAGGAAAUCAAACAUACAAUUAUUUCUAAUUAUUCUAUAAGAUUCCGAAAGCAAGAAAGGCUUAAGUUGUUUAUAUGCCUAAUUCAUGUUUCUAUAUACUUAUCAUCUUCACUUCAUGUACUUCUGUAUGUAUGUACUUCUACCCGUCAUGUUCAGGAGCUGCCUUAAAGAUUGUAUUAUGUUCUAUAGUA